rnacentral:lncRNA from 1 species
CAUAAAAUGAGGCCAUCAUGGAACUAAAAGCUUUGUAACGUGGCAAGAGGACAAAGUAACAAUCCUAAUAUUUCUAGGGAUAACAGAGAGAUCUCUGAUAGUAAUUCCUACAAAGAGAGACCGAAGAUCAAAUGUUUUUCUAGACAGUUAUGAAUUGGGGGCAUUGAUGAGACAGUAGUAAAAAAGACAUAGAAUCAGCCGUGAGAUGAGGUUUAAAGAACCAAAACAGAAGAGAAACUUUUCACUUACACAAUCAACCCAUAUGGCAAUGUUGAUGUGUAACGUUAAAUGGAAUAACCAAUGAUAAUCAGAGCAAUCAUCAGAAAAAUACCUCUUUCCUAGCAGUUACAGUCUGAGUCAUUAUUGGAUAAAAAGGAGAAGGAAGAG